rnacentral:rRNA from 1 species
CCUACGGGGGGCUUCAGUGAGGAAUAUUGGUCAAUGGGCGGAAGCCUGAACCAGCCAAGUCGCGUGAGGGACUAAGGCCCUACGGGUCGUAAACCUCUUUUGCCGGGGAUCAGUGCCCAGCUCGCGCGCUGGGAGAGAGCGUACCCGGAGAAAAAGCAUCGGCUAACUCCGUGCCAGCAGCCGCGGUAAUACGGGGGAUGCGAGCGUUAUCCGGAUUUAUGGGGUUUAAGGGGUGCGUAGACGGGCCUUCAGGCCGGCGGUAAAAGUGCGGGGCUAAACCCCGCCGAGCCGUCGGAACCGGGGGCCUUGAGUACCGGAGAAGUACGCGGAAUGCGUGGUGUAGCGGUGAAAUGCAUAGAUAUCACGCAGAACCCCGAUGGCGAAGGCAGCGUACCGGCCGGUCACUGACGCUGAGGCACGAAAGCGCGGGUAUCGAACAGGAUUAGAUACCCUAGUAGUC